rfam:Triticum aestivum genome assembly, contig: Triticum_aestivum_CS42_TGACv1_scaffold_432920_5DL
UGAAUACUUCUUCCGUCCGAAAAUACUUGUUGGAGAAAUAGAUGAAUCUAGAUGUAUUUUAGUUAUAGAUACAUUCAAUUUUAUCUAUUUCUCCGACAAGUAUUUCGGGACGGAGGGAGUAUUUC